rnacentral:rRNA from 1 species
AGUGAAAGAGGGAGGGAGUAAGAACACAUGCAAGUCGAACGGCAGCACAGUAAGAGCUUGCUCUUACGGGUGGCGAGUGGCGGACGGGUGAGGAAUACAUCGGAAUCUACUUUUUCGUGGGGGAUAACGUAGGGAAACUUACGCUAAUACCGCAUACGACCUACGGGUGAAAGCAGGGGAUCUUCGGACCUUGCGCGAUUGAAUGAGCCGAUGUCGGAUUAGCUAGUUGGCGGGGUAAAGGCCCACCAAGGCGACGAUCCGUAGCUGGUCUGAGAGGAUGAUCAGCCACACUGGAACUGAGACACGGUCCAGACUCCUACGGGAGGCAGCAGUGGGGAAUAUUGGACAAUGGGCGCAAGCCUGAUCCAGCCAUACCGCGUGGGUGAAGAAGGCCUUCGGGUUGUAAAGCCCUUUUGUUGGGAAAGAAAAGCAGCAGGUUAAUACCCCGCUGUUCUGACGGUACCCAAAGAAUAAGCACCGGCUAACUUCGUG